rnacentral:rRNA from 1 species
UACGUAGGGUGCGAGCGUUAAUCGGAAUUACUGGGCGUAAAGCGUGCGCAGGCGGUUUUUCAAGUCGGAUGUGAAAUCCCCGGGCUUAACCUGGGAAUGGCAUUUGGGACUGCAAGGCUGGAGUGCGGCAGAGGAGACUGGAAUUCCUGGUGUAGCAGUGAAAUGCGUAGAUAUCAGGAGGAACACCAAUAGCGAAGGCAGCUCGCUGGGACGGUACUGACGCUAAGGCGCGAAAGCGUGGGGAGCGAACAGG